UUUAUCGGAGAGUUUGAUCCUGGCUCAGGACGAACGCUGGCGGCGUGCCUAAUACAUGCAAGUCGAGCGGACAGAUGGGAGCUUGCUCCCUGAUGUUAGCGGCGGACGGGUGAGUAACACGUGGGUAACCUGCCUGUAAGACUGGGAUAACUCCGGGAAACCGGGGCUAAUACCGGAUGCUUGUUUGAACCGCAUGGUUCAAACAUAAAAGGUGGCUUCGGCUACUACUUACAGAUGGACCCGCGGCGCAUUAGCUAGUUGGUGAGGUAAUGGCUCACCAAGGCGACGAUGCGUAGCCGACCUGAGAGGGUGAUCGGCCACACUGGGACUGAGACACGGCCCAGACUCCUACGGGAGGCAGC
rnacentral:rRNA from 1 species